CUGAGCAAACCAGCAGCAUCUUGGUGAGCAUUAUGGAACAUCAUGCUGAUGGAUGUAAAAUCCCAGAGCCUUCCAGAGAAAAAUUGUGUUCCAGAGAGAGAUUUCUGGUUUCUCUGACCACCAUGCAGGACAGAAUGGAGUCAAACAGCAAUGGGACAAUGAUAGGUACUCUCUUUCUACCCACCAAAGGUGGAGCACUUCCCAGCCGGAGCUACCUUCCUGCCACUGUGUGAUCCACAUUCUGAUUCUGGGACAGGAGGAGAUCAGAAGAGGUUGGAGGCUGAAAAAUUGAGAGCAACUUCAUUGGAUCCAGUCAACCCAAAGAAAGAUUUCACAGCGAACCAAUCAACUCUCAGAUUAUUAUGUCUGAUUAAAGGGGCUUAAGUGAGAGCUAUGGAGGCAUGAAAAGGAGUUUUCUCAAUAGAGGCCACACAGGUUCCAGGAAGAGGCAGACCAGAGCUGUGACUACGGCUAGGAGGAACUUUUCAUGAAUCACAUCUCACGGAAAUGACAGUCACCUGACGUAUUUUUGGAGGUUUUAGAAUUUACCACAGAGAUAAAAAGGUAAGCAGAGAACGCAAUU
rnacentral:lncRNA from 1 species